rnacentral:rRNA from 1 species
AGAACGAACGCUGGCGGCAUGCCUAAUACAUGCAAGUCGAACGAACACUUCGGUGUUAGUGGCGCACGGGUGCGUAACGCGUGGGAAUCUGCCCUUGGGUUCGGAAUAACAGUUGGAAACGACUGCUAAUACCGGAUGAUAUCGAAAGAUCAAAGAUUUAUCGCCCAGGGAUGAGCCCGCGUAGGAUUAGCUAGUUGGUGAGGUAAAGGCUCACCAAGGCGACGAUCCUUAGCUGGUCUGAGAGGAUGAUCAGCCACACUGGGACUGAGACACGGCCCAGACUCCUACGGGAGCAGCAGUAGGGAAUAUGGACAAUGGGCGCAAGCC